AACGAACGCUGGCGGCAGGCCUAACACAUGCAAGUCGAGCGAAGUCUUCGGACUUAGCGGCGGACGGGUUAGUAACGCGUGGGAAUGUGCCUCUGGGUGCGGAACAACCGUUGGAAACGACGGCUAAUACCGCAUGACGUCUACGGACCAAAGAUUUAUCGCCCAGAGAUCAGCCCGCGUUGGAUUAGCUAGUUGGGGGGGUAAUGGCCCACCAAGGCGACGAUCCAUAGCUGGUUUGAGAGGAUGAUCAGCAACACUGGGACUGAGACACGGCCCAGACUCCUACGGGAGGCAGCAGUGGGGAAUCUUGGACAGUGGGCGCAAGCCUGAUCCAGCCAUGCCGCGUGAGCGAUGAAGGCCUUAGGGUUGUAAAGCUCUUUCACCGGUGAAGAUAAUGACGGUAGCCGGAGAAGAAGCCCCGGCUAACUCCGUG
rnacentral:rRNA from 1 species